rnacentral:rRNA from 1 species
UACAGAGGGUGCAAGCGUUAAUCGGAAUUACUGGGCGUAAAGCGUGCGUAGUCGGUUAUCUAAGUCGGGUGUGAAAUCCCCCGGCUUAACCUGGGAAUUGCAUUGAGGACUGGCGUGCUCGAGGGCGGGAGAGGAGCGCGGAAUUCCCGGUGUAGCGGUGAAAUGCGUAGAGAUCGGGAGGAAGGCCGGUGGCGAAGGCGGCGCUCUGGAACGUACCUGACGCUGAGACACGAAAGCGUGGGGAGCAAACAGG